rnacentral:lncRNA from 1 species
GUACGCAUCUGAAUCCGCGAGGGAGGCAGGCGUUUUCCAGUCACCUCUGCUUGCCGGACUGAGUUCCUGUGGUAUUUCAGGAGAAGUCACAAUUCCUGUGCCGGUGGAACUAAGAGCUGGUCGGAGAAACUGUAUUGGAGAUGACACGAAGAACUGAUAUGGGGAAGAUGGUUAGAACCUGCAGGAAGGCUUCUCGAGAUAAGAGUUGACUUCAAGAAGAGGCUGGAUGAUGGGGACGCUGCAAGGAGGAGACCUUUGGGAUUGGGGAUUCCCAAACUUGAUCGAUCCUACUGUCACCUGGGAGAGUUUAAAAAAAUCGCAGACUCCAUGGAAGACCUGCUGAAGCAGAAUCUUAAAUUGGAGGAAGGUAGAAUUUGCACUAAUGUCUAGAAUUUCCCUCAGGUGAUGCUGAUGGGCAAUUGGAUUUGGGAAUCAUUGAAGCAGAAGACCUUUAAGGUACCUUCAAACUCUAAAUUUUGGUGAAUUUAUCUAUACCAAUUGUGGUCCCUAGGCCAACAGCAUCAUCUGGAAGCUUGUUUGAAAUGCAGAUUCUUGGGCCUCGCUCAAGACCUACUGAAUCAGAAACUCUGGAGGUGAGUUUCAGCAAUCUGUGUUUUAGUAAGCCUUCCAGUUAAUUCUGAUGAACCACCGACCAACAGUAUUCACUAGUAAUUCUAGUUUUAGUUUUAGUCCAUAUAAUGGAGUGACAAGUUUACCACCUAAAAUGUAGCCAUCCUCAAAGAUGGUCCCCAAAUGAUUCCUCCCUCCUGAUAGUCACACCCUGUGUAGUCCCCUCCCACCCUACAUUCGGGCUGGUUUGUAUGGCCACUGAAGUAAUGCAGAAGUGAUAUGUCACUUUCAAUGCUAUAUUAUAAGACAAGGCUUAUGUCCUGCUCUCUCUUGGGUCACAUGUUCUGGCGGAAGCCAGCUGCCAUGUCAUGAGGACACUCAGGCAUUGCCAUGGAGAAGCCCAAGUGACAAGGAACUGAGGCUUCCUGCCAACUGCCAGUGAUGACC